UCGCGAAUCAUUCACAAUGGACGCAAGUCUGAUGAUGCCACGCCGCGUGCGGGAUGAAGGCCCUUUGGGUUGUAAACCGCUGUCAAGGGAGGGGAAACACCUAGUGUUAACAGCGCUAGGCUUGACUGCUCCCUAAAGGAAGCCCCGGNAAAACAUGUGCCAGCAGCCGCGGUAAUACAUGUGGGGCAAGCGUUGUUCGGAAUUACUGGGCAUAAAGGGUGCGUAGGCGGUUUGUUAAGUCACUGGUGAAAGUUUGCGGCCCAACCGUAAAAUUGCCUGUGAUACUGGCGAACUUGAGUGCGUGAGGGGUAGGGGGAACGAGCAGUGUAGCGGUGAAAUGCGUAGAUAUUGCUCGGAAGGCCGGAGCCGAAGGGGCCCUACUGGUACGUAACUGACGCUGAGGCACGAAAGCGUGGGGAGCAAACAGGAUUAGAUACCCUCGUAGUCCCUGAGCGGGCUGGCAAGGCGCAU
rnacentral:rRNA from 1 species